UCUUCCCCUUGAGAGGACAGUAGAAGGCAGUAGAGAAUACAGAACCAACAGUCCUGACAGCCGCAGAGUCUGGAGUCCAAAGCCCGGGCUGGACAGAAUCUGCAGCUGAGCUCUGAAGGGUCAACAACCCCAGCUAGAGGGCUUAAAUCACGUGGGAGAAAUGUCAACCCAAAGGAAAUCUUUUGGGAAGAACCUGGAUCAAGUGAAAUGGAAACUCCAAGAAGAGUGAGAACACCUCCAGAGAACAGCAGCACUCUGUUUUCUGGCACAGUCAGCUGCACUGAGCCCCACACACAGGUUGCUGAUGUCUCAGUUGAGCUACAAAAAACACUCUAAUUGCC